rnacentral:rRNA from 1 species
AGUGAACGCUGGCGGCGUGCCUAACACAUGCAAGUCGUACGGGCUUCGGGUAGCAAUACCCGGAGUCAGUGGCGAACGGGUGAGUAACACGUGGGUAACCUCCCCCCGAGUGAGGGAUAACCUCGCGAAAGCGGGGCUAAUACCGCAUAAUACCCCGGCGCAUAAGCGUUCGGGGUCAAAGCCGCAAGGCGCUUGGGGAUGGGCCCGCGUCCUAUCAGCUAGUUGGUAGGGUAAUGGCCUACCAAGGCGAUGACGGGUAGCCGGCCUGAGAGGGUGUCCGGCCACACUGGGACUGAGACACGGCCCAGACUCCUACGGGAGGCAGCAGUGAGGAAUAUUGCGCAAUGGGCGAAAGCCUGACGCAGCGACGCCGCGUGGGGGAUGAAGGCCUUCGGGUUGUAAACCCCUGUCAGAGGGGAAGA